rnacentral:piRNA from 1 species
UCCUCAAUCUCCCUCCUCCUAAAAUGAGGGC